rnacentral:tRNA from 1 species
GCGGGUAUCGUAUAAUGGCUAUUAUAUUACCUUGCCAAGGUAGAGAUACGGGUUCGAUUCCCGUUACCCGCUCCA